rnacentral:rRNA from 1 species
UACGUAGGGUGCAAGCGUUGUCCGGAAUUAUUGGGCGUAAAGAGCUCGUAGGCGGUUUGUUGCGUCGGCUGUGAAAUCCCGAGAGUCAACCUCGGGUCUGCAGUCGAUACGAGCAAACUAGAGUGUUGCAGGGGAGACUGGAAUUCCUGGUGUAGCGGUGAAAUGCGAAGAUAUCAGGAGGAACACCGGUGGCGAAGGCGGGUCUCUGGGCAACAACUGACGCUGAGGAGCGAAAGCGUGGGGAGCGAACAGG